rnacentral:rRNA from 1 species
GGAAUGCGGCAGCUACACAUGCAAGUCGAGCGGUAGCACAGAGAGCUUGCUCUCGGGUGACGAGCGGCGGACGGGUGAGUAAUGUCUGGGAAACUGCCUGAUGGAGGGGGAUAACUACUGGAAACGGUAGCUAAUACCGCAUAACGUCGCAAGACCAAAGUGGGGGACCUUCGGGCCUCAUGCCAUCAGAUGUGCCCAGAUGGGAUUAGCUAGUAGGUGGGGUAACGGCUCACCUAGGCGACGAUCCCUAGCUGGUCUGAGAGGAUGACCAGCCACACUGGAACUGAGACACGGUCCAGACUCCUACGGGAGGCAGCAGUGGGGAAUAUUGCACAAUGGGCGCAAGCCUGAUGCAGCCAUGCCGCGUGUGUGAAGAAGGCCUUCGGGUUGUAAAGCACUUUCAGCGGGGAGGAAGGCGGUGAGGUUAAUAACCUUGUCGAUUGACGUUACCCGCAGAAGAAGCACCGGCUAACUCCGUGCCAGCAGCCGCGGUAAUACGGAGGGUGCAAGCGUUAAUCGGAAUUACUGGGCGUAAAGCGCACGCAGGCGGUCUGUCAAGUCGGAUGUGAAAUCCCCGGGCUCAACCUGGGAACUGCAUUCGAAACUGGCAGGCUAGAGUCUUGUAGAGGGGGGUAGAAUUCCAGGUGUAGCGGUGAAAUGCGUAGAGAUCUGGAGGAAUACCGGUGGCGAAGGCGGCCCCCUGGACAAAGACUGACGCUCAGGUGCGAAAGCGUGGGGAGCAAACAGGAUUAGAUACCCUGGUAGUCCACGCCGUAAACGAUGUCGAUUUGGAGGUUGUGCCCUUGAGGCGUGGCUUCCGGAGCUAACGCGUUAAAUCGACCGCCUGGGGAGUACGGCCGCAAGGUUAAAACUCAAAUGAAUUGACGGGGGCCCGCACAAGCGGUGGAGCAUGUGGUUUAAUUCGAUGCAACGCGAAGAACCUUACCUGGUCUUGACAUCCACAGAACUUUCCAGAGAUGGAUUGGUGCCUUCGGGAACUGUGAGACAGGUGCUGCAUGGCUGUCGUCAGCUCGUGUUGUGAAAUGUUGGGUUAAGUCCCGCAACGAGCGCAACCCUUAUCCUUUGUUGCCAGCGGUUAGGCCGGGAACUCAAAGGAGACUGCCAGUGAUAAACUGGAGGAAGGUGGGGAUGACGUCAAGUCAUCAUGGCCCUUACGACCAGGGCUACACACGUGCUACAAUGGCAUAUACAAAGAGAAGCGACCUCGCGAGAGCAAGCGGACCUCAUAAAGUAUGUCGUAGUCCGGAUUGGAGUCUGCAACUCGACUCCAUGAAGUCGGAAUCGCUAGUAAUCGUAGAUCAGAAUGCUACGGUGAAUACGUUCCCGGGCCUUGUACACACCGCCCGUCACACCAUGGGAGUGGGUUGCAAAAGAAGUAGGUAGCUUAACCUUCGGGAGGGCGCUACCACUUUGAUCAUGCU